UAAAAUUUAAUGAUGUAUAUUUUGUAAACAAAAUUAAAUCUAUAAGAUAUCAAAAAUCUCAAAUUAACGAAAUUAAGUUAAUAAUAAUUUGAUUUAGAUUAAUUUAUGUCAAGAUAAAUUAAAUUAAAUAGUAAAAUUAAAAACAAUUUUUUUUUUAGUUUUACAAGUUUUAAGAAUUUUAAAUUUCACUAUUUUUUAUAAACAUGAAAUUCCAAUAAAGAAAUGACAAUAUCAUGCACAAUUGUUCAAGAUGACUUAUGUAUCUAUGUUUUUUAUAGCAAUCUGAAAAAUGCGGACAACCUAAGGUUCUAUUAAACAAAAUGUGUUAUUUUGCAUGAAAUAAGUAAGAUCAUGAUCAUCCGAAUAAUGUUGAAAAUAAUUAACAAUCAAUUGAAGAAUUUGGUGCAAAAACAAGAUUACUGCAUUUUUCAAAAAUUUCAAGAAGCUGAAAAAACUAGACAUUUUUACGCAUGUAUCCUUUCCUACCAGUAAACAAAAUAACAACAGACGACCGAUAGCGAUAAAUGUCGAGGCUCAUGACAAGGUCAGAAGUCGAGAAAUCAUGAUGAGAAGUUGUCAGAAGCACUUACCGCGUCGGAAGAAAGAGAAAACUUAAGAAAUAUCAAACAAAAACAUCAGAUGUGCCGACUAAGGUGUCGGUUAAGUUAUAAUUAUUGUAGAUAGAAGGAGCUAUUAACAACCGCAUCACAAUUAAUCCAAUCGAUUCACCCCAACACUGUACGGAUGCAUUUCCGCCAUAAUAUAGUUUCCGGCAAAAGGGGUUUAGUGCGAUUGUUUGGUGUACACAUCACGGAAAACGUUUAUUAAAAACGCAUACCUAUGAAGAACUACAAUCGAUGGCUCAAUGACCUCGCUGACAAUCGUCACCACAGUGUAUAACAGGCGGUUCCAGUGUGUUUUACGUUGAUAGAAUACGUUAUGUGCAUAGAAAAGAAUGCGUCUGUCGAUGAUAACCACAGCGACCCUAUUGUUGGUGAGACGACGUCAAUCCGAUCGACAGUUGCACUACGUAUAGUAUUGAUUUCGUAUUAUUUAUUUAUCUAUUCCAAUCUGAAUGAGAGUAAUUUCUAAACAGAUAACGGUAAUAGGACGGACAUUGAUGGGAUAACGAGUGCAAAACGCGGAACUUCCAAUAAGACAUGGUUUUAAUAGAUUGUUUGAUUCUACAUCGUGUUAUCUUCACAGUAUUUGAGGAAUUAAAGGCGGCACUGCAUAUCGUUAUGUUAACGAGUGAACAAUAGCCAAUUAUAUCAACACUGAAAUUUAUGAUUAUGUUAACUUAAUAAAGAGUGUAAAUAGUCAAUAAUAUACAAACUGUAUAACAAACAUCUUUAAAAUAUAUGAAUUAGUAAUGGCUAAUAUUGCACUAUAAUAUCUAUACAUUUAUUUUUUUAUUUAAAAUAAAAUCAUAUUUCGUCACUUCAGUUUAUUGGAAUCCGGGCUUAACAUUUAAUUUAUAGCAAAAAAUAUUCCAAUUUACAUUUUAGAUAUGUAAAUUAGAAGUAAACAAAUCUCAUAAAUAUUUUCGUGAAAUAAAUGGUACACUUAAGACACGUAUAUUUCAAAAAACUCUAUCAGUAACCUUUCACUUUAAUUAGAAAUUGGAGAAAUUGACCAUUAAUUGAUGUCAUUCUCAUAUAAUUAAAUUAU